rnacentral:rRNA from 1 species
UACGGGAGGCAGCAGUUAGGAAUAUUGGUCAAUGGGCGCAAGCCUGAACCAGCCAUCCCGCGUGCAGGAAGACGGCCCUAUGGGUUGUAAACUGCUUUUCCAGGGGGAGAAACUUGCGCACGUGUUGCGCAAUUGACGGUACCCUGGGAAUAAGCAUCGGCUAACUCCGUGCCAGCAGCCGCGGUAAUACGGAGGAUGCGAGCUUUAUCCGGAUUCAUUGGGUUUAAAGGGUGCGUAGGCGGAUUAUUAAGUCAGUGGUGAAAUCCUGCAGCUUAACUGCAGAACUGCCAUUGAUACUGAUAGCCUUGAGUUUGAUUGAGGUAGGCGGAAUCUGUAAUGUCGCGGUGAAAUGCUUAUAUAUUGCACAGCACCCCAAUUGCGUAGGCACGCUUAUGUGAGCAGACACUGACGCUGAGGCAAGAAAGCGUGGGGAUCGACAAGGAUUAGAUACCCUGGUUGUCCACGCCGUAAAGCGAUGAUUACUCGCUGUUGGCGAUACACUGUCAGCGGCUAAGCAAACGCAAUAAGUAAUCCGCCUGG